CAGCCGCCGCGGGAACACGAAGGGGGCUAGCGUUGUUCGGAAUCACUGGGCGUAAAGGGUGCGUAGGCGGAUUCUUAAGUCAGGGGUGAAAUCCCGAGGCUCAACCUCGGAACUGCCUUUGAUACUGGGGAUCUUGAGUCCGGAAGAGGUGAGUGGAACUGCGAGUGUAGAGGUGAAAUUCGUAGAUAUUCGCAAGAACACCGGUGGCGAAGGCGGCUCACUGGUCCGGAACUGACGCUGAGGCACGGCAGCGUGGGGAGCAAACAGGAUUAGAUACCCCGGUAGUCCCUGUCUCUUAUAC
rnacentral:rRNA from 1 species